GAUGAACGCUAGCGGCAGACCUAACACAUGCAAGUCGAGGGGUAACUAGAGUGAUAGCAAUAUUACUUUGGCUAGACCGGCGCACGGGUGCGUAACACGUAUGCAACCUACCUUAUACUGGGGAAUAACUUCGAGAAAUCGGCGCUAAUACCCCAUAACAUUGCGAAGAGGCAUCUCUUUGCAAUUAAAGCUCCGGCGGUAUAAGAUGGGCAUGCGUCCAAUUAGCUGGUUGGUGAGGUAACGGCUCACCAAGGCUACGAUUGGUAGGGGUUCUGAGAGGAUGAUCCCCCACACUGGUACUGAGACACGGACCAGACUCCUACGGGAGGCAGCAGUGAGGAAUAUUGCGCAAUGGACGAAAGUCUGACGCAGCCAUGCCGCGUGCAGGAUGACGGCCCUAUGGGUUGUAAACUGCUUUUGUACAGAACGAAAAGGUUUCUACUAAUACUAGGAGCUCAUGACGGUACUGUAAGAAUAAGCACCGGCUAACUACGUGCCAGCAGCCGCCGUAA
rnacentral:rRNA from 1 species